rnacentral:tRNA from 1 species
AUUUAAAUAGUUUAUAAAAAAUAUUGAUUUGUGGAAUCAAAGAUGUUGAUUAACUUUAAAUU